UCAGCUCCACCACUUCGCUGUCCAGAGUAUUGACAGCUUGCCCCAUCAAGAUCUCAGUCUUGAUGGUCUCCUGGACCUGCGAUAGGUACUCUUUCUUGGAUUUUUCCAUCGUAUCCCUCAUCAGGGCUAAGGACCCUUGGGCAGCCUCAAAGUGACUCUGCAGUGACUCCUUGUCGUGCUCAAGCUCCUUGACCCUCUUCUCCAGGACCAGUUGCUUGCGGUGCUGGGUGGAAAACUCUAGGGAAAGCACUAUCUGCUUGGCCAAGUGCAUGUCCACCUCUUGCCCACUCCAUUCGAGAAGCUCCCGGCUGCGUAUGAAAUGUCGAACCAAGGCAAUGACUCGACUGAAGUUUUCAUUUCUAGCACCAGAGCUUCUUGGCUGCGAGCUGGCCUCACCACCUUCAGCAGUAGCAGCAGAGGUUGGCGGUGGUGGUGAUGCAGGAAGUCUUGAGAAACCCCCCGAGUGGG
rnacentral:lncRNA from 1 species